rnacentral:lncRNA from 1 species
AUUUACGCUCUCCGCCUCGGGCCAGGCGGGGUUUCGGGACUAGGGUUUCUGCCGUGUAAUACCUCCUCGAGGCAGAAAAAUUCUACUUUCCAUCUGCUUGGCUGCGGAGGACCUUGGGGUGGGCUCAGCGUGGGGGCUGCAGGCAGAAAUGGGUCCAGAAGGCAAGGUCGAGGUUAGAGCCAAGCCUGUGGGCAGGGCUACGGGCAGGGGGCGGGGAGGAAUGUGGGUCCAGGCCCAGAGGAAAAGGUUGAAGUUAUAGCCAGGCCUGUGGGCGAGGCCGCAGCAGGGCGGCCAUAGGGGAAGGAGCCAAUGUGUUAUGCAUGUAGAAAAUAGACAAAAUCUCACUCUGUCACCAAGGCUGGAGUUCAGUGGAGCCAUCUCAGCUCACUGCAACCUCCACCUCCCAGGUUCAAGCGAUUCUCCUGCCUCAUCCUCCCAAGUAGCUGGAAUUACAGGUGCAUGCUGCCACACCCUGCUAAUUUUUGUAUUUUUAGUAGAGGCAGGGUUUUGCCAUGCUGGCCAGGCUGGUCUUGAACUACUUGUCAGGCCUCUGAGCCCAAGUUAAAUCAUCAUAAACCCUGUCACCUGCACGUAUACAUCCAGAUGGCCUGGAGCAACUGAAGAACCACAAAAGAAGUGAAACAGCCAGUUCCUGCCUUAACUGAUGACGUUCCACCAUUGUGAUUUGUUGCUGCCCCACCCCAACUGAUCUCUUGACCUUGUGACAUUCUUCUUCUGGACGAGUCUCAGGAGUUCCCCACCGAGCACCUUGUGACCCCCGGCCCUGCCAGCAAAAGAUAACCACCUUUAACUUUCCACUACCUACCCAAAUCCUAUAAAACUGCCCCACCCCUAUCUCCCUUUGCUGACCCCUUUCUCGGACUCAGCCCACUUGCACCCAAGUGAAUAAACAGCCUUGUUGCUAACA